rnacentral:rRNA from 1 species
AUGGUGGAGGGCACGGCUCAGGACAUUGCUAACCUGAAGUUCCUCCUCCUGUGCUUCCAAAAGAUGUCGAGGCUCACCAUCAACUUCGAUAAGAGCGAAGUGAUGGUUCUUGGGUAUUCCCCGGCUGAAGCACAGGCUAUAGCGGACCGACUGAAUUGUCGACUGGGUUCUUUUCCCAUGACCUACCUGGGGAUCCCCAUUAGUGACUCGCGCCUCACCGUGGCUGACCUUCGCCCUACGGUGACCCGGAUGCAACAUCGGGUUGAGCCCUGGAAAGGGCGCUGGUUGUCGAAGGCAGCUCGCGUGAUCCUCAUCAACUCCUCGCUUGCCAGCCUUUUUUGGUUCCUCAAGAGCUUCUAUAGCCUGCAUGAGACGCUCCAUCAGGAAAUCGCCAAGUACCAAUCCAGAUUCUUCUAG